rnacentral:lncRNA from 1 species
GGGAGGAAUUUUUUGUACUUUUAUAUGUAUAAAUACCAUAUUUUAUACAUAUACUCUACAUUUUAGUUGUAGUCCCUAUAUAUUUAUGGUUUCAUACUCUUACAAAUAAUUUACAUAUAAACUACUCCUUGUUAUUAUAAUUAGAUAUAUUUUUUUUUUUUGGUAUGAAUAUAAUUAGAUAUAUUUAGAAUUAAAACAGAACAUUAAACGUUUAAAUGGUAUAUUGGCUCGUGUUGUUUACAUAUUAUGCUCUUAUGCUCUGGCCUUUUGUUUAAAGCCCAAGCUCUGUACAUUUUUGUAUUUUUUUUUUCUUUUUAAUAAAGGAGUAUAAUUGUAAAUAUGAAUUCAUCUUCUUCCCUGCCAAUUAUGAAACCUAAAAAAUGGCAGCCGACUGUGUUUCAGUUUUGUUUAUUGAUUUAACAUACUUUUCAUCAAUCUGUCACUUUAAAACUCAAAUGAUUCACACAUUUUUUCUGUAUUUACUCUUGAAUAAGGUUUAAGAACAACAAUACAGAAAUAAUUAUGGAUUUUGAACAACACCGUUCAAGUAAAUAAUCGGCCGCGUUUUGAAAAGUGACGCUCUA